rnacentral:rRNA from 1 species
AUUGAACGCUAGCGGGAUGCUUUACACAUGCAAGUCGAACGAGUGGCGGACGGGUGAGUAAUAUAUCGGAACGUGCCCAGUAGCGGGGGAUAACUACUCGAAAGGGUGGCUAAUACCGCAUACUAUUGGAGCGGCCGAUAUCGGAUUAGCUAGUUGGUGGGGUAAAGGCUCACCAAGGCAACGAUCCGUAGCUGGUUUGAGAGGAAGACCAGCCACACUGGGACUGAGACACGGUCCAGACUCCUACGGGAGGCAGCAGUGGGGAAUUUUGGACAAUGGGCGAAAGCCUGAUCCAGCCAUCCCGCGUGUAUGAGAAGGCCUUCGGGUUGUAAAGUACUUUUGGCGGAGAAGCGUUACUCGCAGAAGAAGCACCGGCUAACUACGUGCCAGCAGCCGCGGUAAUUC